rnacentral:rRNA from 1 species
UACGAAGGGUGCAAGCGUUACUCGGAAUUACUGGGCGUAAAGCGUGCGUAGGCGGUUCGUUAAGUCUGCUGUGAAAGCCCUGGGCUCAACCUGGGAACUGCAGUGGAUACUGGCGAGCUAGAGUGUGUCAGAGGAUGGUGGAAUUCCCGGUGUAGCGGUGAAAUGCGUAGAGAUCGGGAGGAACGCCAGUGGCGAAGGCGGCCAUCUGGGACAACACUGACGCUGAGGCACGAAAGCGUGGGGAGCAAAC